rnacentral:rRNA from 1 species
GGCUCAGGACGAACGCUGGCGGCGUGCUUAACACAUGCAAGUCGAGCGAAGCACUUAAGUUCGAUUCUUCGGAUGAAGACUUUUGUGACUGAGCGGCGGACGGGUGAGUAACGCGUGGGUAACCUGCCUCAUACAGGGGGAUAACAGUUAGAAAUGGCUGCUAAUACCGCAUAAGACCACAGUACUGCAUGGUACAGUGGUAAAAACUCCGGUGGUAUGAGAUGGACCCGCGUCUGAUUAGGUAGUUGGUGAGGUAACGGCCCACCAAGCCGACGAUCAGUAGCCGACCUGAGAGGGUGACCGGCCACAUUGGGACUGAGACACGGCCCAGACUCCUACGGGAGGCAGCAGUAGG